AAAAAAAAUUUUUAAAAAUGUAAGUUUUAGAGGGGGACCUUGAUUUAAAAGUGUGCCACCUGGGGAAGGUUGCUUACUCUCUUUGAAUAUCAGUUUCUUAUUGUGUAAAAUGAGGAUUAGAAUACCUUCCUUAGGGGGUUGUUGGGAGAAUAAAAUGAAGUAACAUAUGAGAAAUGCUCACCACAUUGCCUGACAGAUAGUAAGUGCUCAAUAAAUAGUAUACAGUAACAGCAACAAUAAUGUUAUAAGAGAAAUCCCUUCCUUUUGUCUUAGCAGCUACUAAGCCAGGUGCAUCCUGUGCAAAAGGCCUGUGACACUCCGAAGCGAUAGUUCCAUCCAAAGGUGGUGAGAUUAUACCAGCCCAUCUCCAUGACAACCAGGUGUCUUAUUUAUCUUGUCCAGUGCCAGAUUUGGAGAUGGAGGAGAGGUUCAGAGAGGCUGGUAACCUGCCAGAGGUGGAUGCAACCGUAUUUUCUGACAGAUUCUUCCAGAACAGCUGCCUGCCCGAAGCCCUGAGCCACCACAGGAGCUGUCCAGUUGCCCCGAAGCCGCCAUCAGCCAUGUGGAAAAGUCACAUGGAGAAGCCUUGAGGCUAUUGGAAGAGAAAGAGAUGCUCAGCGAGCCCCCAGUUCUAGCGCCUCACCAACUGCAAGCCUGGGAGAGCCCCUGAACCAGAACUACCCAGCAGAAGGUCUUCCCAGAUUCCUGGCCCUUACAAACAGGACUAACAAGAUGAUUGCUAUUGUUUUAAGCGGCCUGCUAGCAGGUUCGGAAGGUGGUGCUUCUGACUGAGCCCGGAGUGAACAAGCCCAGUGGGGCCACCGGAGGCUCUUGGCUCUGAAGAGGAGGCACUGCGGCUCUAGAUUCUAAAAAGUCUGGCAAGUAUGGGGAGACUUAGCUGGUGUUUGGGGCAUGGUCUUAAGAGGCUCAUCUUGGGCGCCUGGGUGGCUCAGAUGGUUAAG